rnacentral:rRNA from 1 species
UUAGAUUAAGUUAUUAAGGGCGCACGGUGGAUGCCUUGGCACUAGAAGCCGAUGAAGGACGUUACUAACGACGAUAUGCUUUGGGUAGCUGUAAGUAAGCGUUGAUCCAGAGAUUUCCGAAUGGGGGAACCCAACACAAGUUAUGUUGUGUUAUCGACAAGUGAAUUCAUAGCUUGUCAGAAGGCAGACCCGGAGAACUGAAACAUCUUAGUACCCGGAGGAAGAGAAAGAAAAUUCGAUUCCCUGAGUAGCGGCGAGCGAAACGGGAAGAGCCCAAACCAAUAAGCUUGCUUAUUGGGGUUGUAGGACACUCUAUACGGAGUUACAAAGGAAUAUAUUAAACGAAUCAUCUGGAAAGUUGAAUCAAAGAAGGUAAUAAUCCUGUAGUUGAAAAUAUAUUCUCUCUUGAGUGGAUCCUGAGUACGACGGAGCACGUGAAAUUCCGUCGGAAUCUGGGAGGACCAUCUCCUAAGGCUAAAUACUCUCUAGUGACCGAUAGUGAACCAGUACCGUGAGGGAAAGGUGAAAAGUACCCCGGAAGGGGAGUGAAAGAGAACUUGAAACCGUGUGCUUACAAGUAGUCAGAGCCCGUUAAUGGGUGAUGGCGUGCCUUUUGUAGAAUGAACCGGCGAGUUACGAUCUGAUGCAAGGUUAAGCAGAAAAUGUGGAGCCGUAGCGAAAGCGAGUCUGAAUAGGGCGUAUAGUAUUUGGUCGUAGACCCGAAACCAGGUGAUCUACCCAUGGUCAGGUUGAAGUUCAGGUAACACUGAAUGGAGGACCGAACCGACUUACGUUGAAAAGUGAGCGGAUGAACUGUGGGUAGCGGAGAAAUUCCAAUCGAACUUGGAGAUAGCUGGUUCUCUCCGAAAUAGCUUUAGGGCUAGCCUCAAGUGAUGAUUAUUGGAGGUAGAGCACUGUUUGGACGAGGGGCCCCUCUCGGGUUACCGAAUUCAGACAAACUCCGAAUGCCAAUUAAUUUAACUUGGGAGUCAGAACAUGGGUGAUAAGGUCCGUGUUCGAAAGGGAAACAGCCCAGACCACCAGCUAAGGUCCCAAAAUAUAUGUUAAGUGGAAAAGGAUGUGGCGUUGCCCAGACAACUAGGAUGUUGGCUUAGAAGCAGCCAUCAUUUAAAGAGUGCGUAAUAGCUCACUAGUCGAGUGACACUGCGCCGAAAAUGUACCGGGGCUAAACAUAUUACCGAAGCUGUGGAUUGUCCUUUGGACAAUGGUAGGAGAGCGUUCUAAGGGCGUUGAAGCAUGAUCGCAAGGACAUGUGGAGCGCUUAGAAGUGAGAAUGCCGGUGUGAGUAGCGAAAGACGGGUGAGAAUCCCGUCCACCGAUUGACUAAGGUUUCCAGAGGAAGGCUCGUCCGCUCUGGGUUAGUCGGGUCCUAAGCUGAGGCCGACAGGCGUAGGCGAUGGAUAACAGGUUGAUAUUCCUGUACCACCUAUAAUCGUUUUAAUCGAUGGGGGGACGCAGUAGGAUAGGCGAAGCGUACGAUUGGAUUGUACGUCUAAGCAGUGAGAUUGAGUGUUAGGCAAAUCCGGCACUCUUAAGAUUGAGCUGUGAUGGGGAGAGGAAAUUGUUUCCUCGAGUCGUUGAUUUCACACUGCCGAGAAAAGCCUCUAGAUAGAGAUUAGGUGCCCGUACCGCAAACCGACACAGGUAGUCAAGAUGAGAAUUCUAAGGUGAGCGAGCGAACUCUCGUUAAGGAACUCGGCAAAAUGACCCCGUAACUUCGGGAGAAGGGGUGCUCUUUAGGGUGCAAGCCCAGAAGAGCCGCAGUGAAUAGGCCCAAGCGACUGUUUAUCAAAAACACAGGUCUCUGCUAAACCGUAAGGUGAUGUAUAGGGGCUGACGCCUGCCCGGUGCUGGAAGGUUAAGAGGAGUGGUUAGCUUCUGCGAAGCUACGAAUCGAAGCCCCAGUAAACGGCGGCCGUAACUAUAACGGUCCUAAGGUAGCGAAAUUCCUUGUCGGGUAAGUUCCGACCCGCACGAAAGGCGUAACGAUUUGGGCACUGUCUCAACGAGAGACUCGGUGAAAUCAUAGUACCUGUGAAGAUGCAGGUUACCCGCGACAGGACGGAAAGACCCCGUGGAGCUUUACUGUAGCCUGAUAUUGAAAUUCGGCACAGCUUGUACAGGAUAGGUAGGAGCCUUUGAAACGUGAGCGCUAGCUUACGUGGAGGCGUUGGUGGGAUACUACCCUAGCUGUGUUGGCUUUCUAACCCGCACCACUUAUCGUGGUGGGAGACAGUGUCAGGCGGGCAGUUUGACUGGGGCGGUCGCCUCCUAAAAGGUAACGGAGGCGCUCAAAGGUUCCCUCAGAAUGGUUGGAAAUCAUUCAUAGAG